AACGAACGCUGGCGGCAGGCCUAACACAUGCAAGUCGAGCGAGAUCUUCGGGUCUAGCGGCGGACGGGUGAGUAACGCGUGGGAAUAUGCCUCUUGGUACGGAAUAGCCUCGGGAAACUGGGAGUAAUACCGUAUGUGCCCUUUGGGGGAAAGAUUUAUCGCCAAGAGAUUAGCCCGCGUUGGAUUAGGUAGUUGGUGGGGUAAUGGCCUACCAAGCCGACGAUCCAUAGCUGGUUUGAGAGGAUGAUCAGCCACACUGGGACUGAGACACGGCCCAGACUCCUACGGGAAGCAGCAGUGGGGAAUCUUAGACAAUGGGGGCAACCCUGAUCUAGCCAUGCCGCGUGAGUGAUGAAGGCCUUAGGGUUGUAAAGCUCUUUCAGCUGGGAAGAUAAUGACGGUACCAGCAGAGGAAGCCCCGGCUAACUCCGUG
rnacentral:rRNA from 1 species